GAGGAAUAUUGGUCAAUGGACGGAAGUCUGAACCAGCCAAGUAGCGUGCAGGAUGACGGCCCUAUGGGUUGUAAACUGCUUUUGUAUGGGGAUAAAGUCAAUCACGUGUGAUUGUUUGCAGGUACCAUACGAAUAAGGACCGGCUAAUUCCGUGCCAGCAGCCGCGGUAAUACGGAAGGUCCUGGUGUUAUCCGGAUUUAUUGGGUUUAAAGGGAGCGUAGGCCGUAGAUUAAGUGUGUUGUGAAAUGUAGGCGCCCAACGUCUGCCUUGCAGCGCAAACUGGUUUACUUGAGUACGCGCAACGCAGGCGGAAUUCGUCGUGUAGCGGUGAAAUGCUUAGAUAUGACGAAGAACUCCGAUUGCGAAGGCAGCUGACGGGAGCGCAACUGACGCUUAAGCUCGAAGGUGCGGGUACCAAACAGGAUUAGAUACCCUGGUAGUCCGCACAGUAAACGAUGGAUGCCCGCUGUUGGUACCUGGUAUCAGCGGCUAAGCGAAAGCAUUAAGCAUCCCACCUGGGGAGUACGCCGGCAACGGUG
rnacentral:rRNA from 1 species